ACGGGCUUAGUCAACAGCAGGGCACAGCAAACACCUCCCUGAGACGAGCCCAGGAUGUGCAACCCCGCUGUGAUGCUCUGCAGGGAUGCAGAGUGGAGCAUCCCCCCGGCUGCUGGGACCCACCACCCACCUUGGAAUCACCUGAGCAGUGCCAAAAGGGUGCUCCUGCCUGGUGAACCCACACCCAGCACAACAUCCAGAGUGGUUCAGAGGCUGCCAGAGUCUCAGGGCUGGGACUGUGGCUCUUCCCUGGGUGAGACAAACAGCUCCCACACUGGGUGGCUGCUGGGGGUUUGUUUGGAGCAGGGGAAGGCCAGGCCAGGAGCGACAGGGGAUUUCAUAACACGCCUCUGUCUGCGCGGGCACCCGGCGAGGCAGGGGCCCCUCGGCCACCAACAGCCCUCCUCCUCCUCCUCCUCCUGCUCCCUCCACCCCUCACAUGGCACAGCAGCUAAAAACCUCCAGCACUGUCAGCUCCAACGCAGCCAAAGCACGAGCCCACCCCGGGGGAUGCACAGGACAGGGAGAGGGGCAUCAAUAUGUGUAAUGAGAGGGGACAGUAACAAAGAGGCAGAGGGAAAGGAGAGGAUUGAACCCCUCUGGAUGAUUAAGAGCUGUUUAGGGGCAGGCAUUCCCCCCAUCUUCUCCUUCACCACCUCCCCCAAGCACCCACCAAAGCAGAGCUGCUCACCGAGAGCCAGGGCUGCUCAUGGCUCUCACUGCAGUCUCCCUGUCCAAGCCAGGCUGUCUUUGCCCCACAGGCUGCUCUCCUCGUCCCCUUCCUUCCAUCACACAGCUGCUGCACAGCCCCAGUGUUCAACAGGACCUGCAGAAGAGCUGGAGGAACCUGCCUGGGUUAAGAGCCAAGCAACACUUCAGACUUGAGACUCAACGCUAUCUAAAGUCACACACUCCACAUUACCCACCACUGCAGUCAGUAUUUUAGGGGAAAUCCUGGACUCUGAAGCAAUGCUAUGAAAAUCCAAGAGCCUCCUGCCACCCCACAAGGCCGAGCAGGGCACUCCUCCUCCAGCAGCCCCUCUUCCC
rnacentral:lncRNA from 1 species